AGUGAACGCUGGCGGUAGGCCUAACACAUGCAAGUCGAACGGCAGCACAGUAAGAGCUUGCUCUUACGGGUGGCGAGUGGCGGACGGGUGAGGAAUACAUCGGAAUCUACUUUUUCGUGGGGGAUAAUGUAGGGAAACUUACGCUAAUACCGCAUACGACCUACGGGUGAAAGCAGGGGAUCUUCGGACCUUGCGCGAUUGAAUGAGCCGAUGUCGGAUUAGCUAGUUGGCGGGGUAAAGGCCCACCAAGGCGACGAUCCGUAGCUGGUCUGAGAGGAUGAUCGGCCACACUGGAACUGAGACACGGUCCAGACUCCUACGGGAGGCGGCAGUGGGGAAUAUUGGACAAUGGGCGCAAGCCUGAUCCAGCCAUACCGCGUGGGUGAAGAAGGCCUUCGGGUUGUAAAGCCCUUUUGUUGGGAAAGAAAAGCAGCAGGUUAAUACCCCGCUGUUCUGACGGUACCCAAAGAAUAAGCACCGGCUAACUUCGUG
rnacentral:rRNA from 1 species